CAGUAGCCACGGUAAUGCGAGGGGGGCAAGCGUUGUUCGGAAUUAUUGGGCGUAAAGGGUGCGUAGGCGGCUUGACAAGUCUUGUGUGAAAUCUAUGGGCUCAACCCAUAGUCUGCACGGGAAACUAUCGGGCUUGAGAAUGGGAGAGGUGAGUGGAAUUUCCGGUGUAGCGGUGAAAUGCGUAGAUAUCGGAAGGAACACCUGUGGCGAAAGCGGCUCACUGGACCAUUUCUGACGCUGAUGCACGAAAGCUAGGGGAGCAAACAGGAUUAGAUACCCCCGUAGUCCCUGUCUCUUAUAA
rnacentral:rRNA from 1 species